UAUAGAAAAUGCUUAACCCAUUGUAAAGUGGGGGCGGAAAAUCACGGGUCUUGCGCUGCAAGACAGCCAGAUUCCCUAU
rnacentral:ncRNA from 1 species